rnacentral:lncRNA from 1 species
UCCCACGCUUUCAAUCAGGAUAUGGAUCUAGGAAGGAGAAACUUCUCCAUACUUCGCUACAGCUGUCAUUCUAGCUGAGUCCAUGUGUAACCGGGAAUGCAGAUGUCUGCUUGCAUCUCCAGCUUCAUUUCAGACGAGUUCGGAAGGUUUUUUGGCUACUGUUUGAAGGAGCCACUGGCGUGCAGCUAGAGACGUUAAUACGGAAGGUAACAUACUCCAUUUUAAAAGAAAGAACUGAAGACAGAGUUGAAAGCUUGCUGUUCCAAAGUUGACA